rnacentral:tRNA from 1 species
GCCCUGGUGGUCUAGUGGUUAAGAUUUGGUGCUCUCACCGCCAUAGCCAAGGUUCAUUUCCUGGUCAGAGAA